AUAUUGUCAACCUCUUUGGUUGGAUUUGGGGGUUGUUGGACUCUUUCUUGAGGUCAGCUCCUCUAAAAUGCAUUAGCAAAACAGUUUGUCAAUCGUUCAUUGGUGUGAUAAUUAUCUACGCUAUUGACGUGAGAAGGCAGGUUUAGCUCAUAACAGUCCAUUGACUUGGACAAGAACAAAUUAUUA
rnacentral:misc_RNA from 1 species